UACGUAGGGUGCGAGCGUUUGUCCGGAAUUAUUGGGCGUAAAGAGCUCGUAGGCGGUCUGUCGCGUCGGCUGUGAAAACUCGGGGGCUCAACCCCCGAGCCUGCAGUCGAUACGGGCAGACUAGAGUGCUGUAGGGGGAGACUGGAAUUCCUGGUGUAGCGGUGAAAAUGCGCAGAUAUCAGGAGGAACACCGGUGGCGAAGGCGGGUCUCUGGGCAGUAACUGACGCUGAGGAGCGAAAGCGUGGGGGAGCGAACAGG
rnacentral:rRNA from 1 species